rnacentral:rRNA from 1 species
CAGCCGCCACGGGAAUACAGAGGGUGCGAGCGUUAAUCGGAAUUACUGGGCGUAAAGCGCGCGUAGACGGUUUGGUAAGUCAGAUGUGAAAUCCCUGGGCUCAACCUGGGAACUGCAUUUGAUACUGCCUGGCUAGAGUAUCGAAGAGGGAAGUGGAAUUUCCGGUGUAGCGGUGAAAUGCGUAGAUAUCGGAAGGAACACCAGUGGCGAAAGCGACUUCCUGGUCGAAUACUGACGUUCAUGUGCGAAAGCGUGGGGAGCAAACAGGAUUAGAUACCCCUGUAGUCCCUGUCUCUUAUAC